CACAACCAAAGGCAUGAGUGAGCCCAGUGGCUGUACACCAAAGUUAAUCACCAGCCUGGUUUCCAACAGCAUAGAUUUGGUUUCUCCAUGUUUGUAAAUGAAAUCAUACAGCUUGUCCUCUUUUGCGUCUGGCUUCUUUUACUGAAAGGUACUUGCUGUCAUACCAGGCUCCUAUUAACUUCAACAGGGAUGGCGCCGGGUUCAAGAGGCUGAAGAAGAGACCCAGAGCCAGCAAAUGAGACAGAGGGUUUCAUUAGCAGGAAACUUAUAUGCAGGGAUGGUCCGG
rnacentral:lncRNA from 1 species